rnacentral:rRNA from 1 species
GGUCUCGCCUGCCCAGUGAGUUUCAACUUUAACGGCCGCGGUAUCCUAACCGUGCAAAGGUAGCGCAAUCACUUGUCUUUUAAAUAAAGACCCGUAUGAAUGGCUGAAUAAGAACGAAUCUGUCUCCUGCAACUAGUCAAUGAAACUGAUCCCCCAGUACAAAAGCUGGCAUACACACAUAAGACGAGAAGACCCCGUGGAGCUUUAAACAUAAUACUACGCACCCAAACCCUAAAUCUCUGCCUAUAGUAAAACCUUUCAGUUGGGGCGACUACGGGGCAAAACAAAACCCCCACGAACCAGGAAUUUUUCCUCCCCAGGCCUACAAGCCAACGACAAAAUUAACCGACCCAGUACACCACUGAACACCGAACCAAGUUACCCCGGGGAUAACAGCGCCAUCCCCCUUAAGAGUCCCUAUCGCCAGGGGGGCUUACGACCUCGAUGUUGGAUCAGGACCCCCCAAUGGUGCAGCCGCCAUUAAAGGUGCGUUUGUUCAACGCUUAAAGUCCU